rnacentral:rRNA from 1 species
AAUGAACGUUGGCGGCGUGGAUUAGGCAUGCAAGUCGAGCGAGAACCCCGCAAGGGGGGACAGCGGCGCAAGGGACAGUAAUGUGUAGAUCAUCUGCCCUCAGGUCCGGGAUAGCUGCGGGAAACUGCAGGUAAUACCGGAUAACAUCUCCGGAUCAAAGGUGUGAUUCCGCCUGAGGAUGAGUCUGCAUCCUAUUAGCUAGUUGGCAGGGUAACGGCCUACCAAGGCAUUGAUGGGUAGCGGGUGUGAGAGCACGACCCGCGUCAUUGGGACUGAGACACUGCCCAGACACCUACGGGUGGCUGCAGUCGAGAAUCUUCGGCAAUGGGCGCAAGCCUGACCGAGCGACGCCGCGUGUGGGAUGAAGGCCUUCGGGUUGUAAACCACUGUCAGAGGGGAUGAAAUGCAAGAGGGUUCUCCCAUCUGUUUGACAUAGCCUCAGAGGAAGGACGGGCUAAGUUCGUGCCAGCAGCCGCGGUAA